rnacentral:tRNA from 1 species
GGUAGCGUGUCCGAGCGGCCGAAGGAGCGCGCCUCGAAAGCGCGUGACGGGUAUCCCCCGUCCGUGGGUUCAAAUCCCACCGCUACCG